rnacentral:rRNA from 1 species
UACGAAGGGGCUAGCGUUGCUCGGAAUCACUGGGCGUAAAGCGCACGUAAGCGGAUUGUUAAGUCAGGGGUGAAAUCCUGGAGCUCAACUCCAGAACUGCCUUUGAUACUGGCGAUCUUGAGUCCGGGAGAGGUGAGUGGAACUGCGAGUGUAGAGGUGAAAUUCGUAGAUAUUCGCAAGAACACCAGUGGCGAAGGCGGCUCACUGGCCCGGUACUGACGCUGAGGUGCGAAAGCGUGGGGAGCAAACAGG